CCUACGGGAGGCAGCAGUGGGGAAUAUUGCACAAUGGGCGAAAGCCUGAUGCAGCGACGCCGCGUGAGGGAUGACGGCCUUCGGGUUGUAAACCUCUUUCAGCAGGGAAGAAGCGAAAGUGACGGUACCUGCAGAAGAAGCACCGGCUAACUACGUGCCAGCAGCCGCGGUAAUACGUAGGGUGCGAGCGUUGUCCGGAAUUAUUGGGCGUAAAGAGCUUGUAGGCGGUUUGUCGCGUCUGCUGUGAAAAUCCGGGGCUCAACCCCGGACUUGCAGUGGGUACGGGCAGACUAGAGUGUGGUAGGGGAGACUGGAAUUCCUGGUGUAGCGGUGAAAUGCGCAGAUAUCAGGAGGAACACCGAUGGCGAAGGCAGGUCUCUGGGCCACUACUGACGCUGAGAAGCGAAAGCAUGGGGAGCGAACAGGAUUAGAUACCCUGGUAGUCCAUGCCGUAAACGUUGGGCGCUAGGUGUGGGACUCAUUCCACGAGUUCCGUGCCGCAGCUAACGCAUUAAGCGCCCCGCCUGGGGAGUACGGCCGCAAGGCUAAAACUCAAAGGAAUUGACGG
rnacentral:rRNA from 2 species